GAGAGAGAGAGAGGGAGUUGUGUAAAAGGGGCUGAAGUCCUGCGCUGCGCUCUCCACUGCUGCUGCUGCUGCUGCUGCUGUUGCUGCAUGGAAAAGUAGGCUCACCCCCAGAUAUAACGCUGACAAACCGUGUCAUUUAUCGUGGAUGCAAGACAUGUAAAAAAAAAAAAAAAAAGAAAAGAAAAAAAAAAGACAACGACACACCCUGGUGAAGGUCCUGGACUCCGCCGAGCAGUGGGCGAGGCAGCCUGAACUCCGCCGGACCGUUCAGAUGUGUCGGCGGCGCAGGAGCGACCCGGCCGGUGGUCAAGGAAUAUGUGCACCUAAAGCAGAAGAAGGACAAAGAAGGAGUCGCCAUUUGUGCUUUAAUUCAAGGACAGUCACUCCAAGCUGCCUGUUGCGGAAAGGUCGACUCUCACGCUCACUGGCUGACUCCCAGAAGUCCCUCACCCUCGGCCCCAAAUGGCUAACACACAGCAGUUCUUCACUGGCAAGCUUUAUGUUCCUGUACACAUGCUAAAGCUGCCAGCUGAAGAACUGCUCUGGUCAGCCCUGCCCCGGAUGACUCAAGAAUAGGAAGCGGAUGGGGGGGCGGUGGUGGUGGUGGUGGUGGGAAGAGGACUGAGGAAGGCAACGUUUCACACACUUCAGUAGUCAGACUGGACAUUAAUAACCUGCCAGAUUCGAACCACCAUUGUUUAUGUUUCCUUGUUAAGCACAUGGAAGGUAUAUUUCUCUGUGGUCACUGGUCACACAUGUCUUUGUCUGAAAAAAAUCCUGCUUGUCUAUGAUGUGUUUAUUAUUAUUUUUUUUUUACAAUAAAGAACAUAUAUUUUCUCAGA